rnacentral:rRNA from 1 species
GUCAGCCGGUCUCGCGAAUGCUCUAGAUUAAAGUUUGAUCAUGGCUCAGACUCAAGCGCGUAACGGCGUGCCUAACACAUGCAAGUCGAACGGUAACAGGAAGCAGCUUGCUGCUUUGCUGACGAGUGGCGGACGGGUAGAGUAAUAGUCUGGGAAACUUGCCUAGAUGGAGGGGGAUAACUACUGGAAACGGUAGCUAAUACCGCAUAACAUCUACGGAUACAAAUAGCGUAAGCAGCUUAGAGGAGGGGGUCGCGGCUAGAUAUAGCUAAGUAUAGGCGGGGUAAUAGGCCCACCAAAGGCGGUAGAUACAGUAGCCGGCCUAGAGAGGGCGCACGGCCACACUAGGAACUGAACACGUCCAACUCCUACAGGAAGCACANAGGGGAAUUAGCGCCAAUNGGGGAAAAC